AUUGAACGCUGGCGGCGUGCUUAACACAUACAAGUCGAUCGGUAACAGGUGUAGCAAUACAUGCUGACGAGAGGCGGACGGGUGAGGAAUAUUUGGGAAUCUGCCCAUCAGCGGGGGACAACCCGGGGAAACCCGGGCUAAUACCGCAUACGCUCUACGGAGGAAAGCCGGGGACCGCAAGGCCUGGCACUGAUGGAUGAGCCCAAAUCGGAUUAGCUAGUUGGCGGGGUAACGGCCCACCAAGGCGACGAUCCGUAGCUGGUCUGAGAGGACGAUCAGCCACACCGGAACUGAGACACGGUCCGGACUCCUACGGGAGGCAGCAGUGGGGAGUAUUGAACAAUGGGGGAAACCCUGAUCCAGCGACGCCGCGUGGGUGAAGAAGGCCUGCGGGUUGUAAAGCCCUUUCGGUAGGGACGAAAGCUCUUGCUCCAACAAAGCAGGAGGUUGACUUAACCUACAUAAGAAGCACCGGCUAACUACGUGCCAGCCGCCGCGGUAACAC
rnacentral:rRNA from 1 species